rnacentral:rRNA from 1 species
UACAGAGGUCUCAAGCGUUGUUCGGAUUCAUUGGGCGUAAAGGGUGCGUAGGUGGCGCGCUAAGUCAGGUGUGAAAUCUCGGGGCUUAACUCCGAAACUGCAUUUGAUACUGGCGUGCUUGAGGACUGGAGAGGAGACUGGAAUUUACGGUGUAGCGGUGAAAUGCGCAGAUAUCAGGAGGAACACCAAUUGCGAAGGCAGCUCGCUGGGACGUAACUGACGCUGAGACGCGAAAGCGUGGGGAGCAAACAGG